GUGCUCACUUUGGCAACACAUACACUAAAAUUGGAACAAUGCAGAGAUUAGUGUGGCCCCUGUGCAUGGAUGACAUGCAAAUUCAUGAAGCAUUCCAUACUAAA